rnacentral:rRNA from 1 species
CGAACGGGUGAGUAACACGUAGGGAACCUGCCCGCGCACCGGGAAUACGCUCUGGAAACGGAGAACAAAUCCCGAUGUACAGGAAGGAGGCAUCUUCUUUCUGUGAAACAUCCUCUAGGGGAUGGGGCGCGGAUGGACCUGCGGUGCAUUAGUUUGUUGGCGGGGUAAAGGCCCACCAAGACGAUGAUGCAUAGCCGGCCUGAGAGGGCGGACGGCCACAUUGGGACUGAGACACGGCCCAGACUCCUACGGGAGGCAGCAG